UGGCUGUCAAACAGUGACAAAGAAGGAAGCUAUUGACAAAACAAAUCAUAAUUACCUGAUGAUAUUACUCUCUUUUGCCUUCUCUUCCCUCCCCCCAGCACCACAUAAAGAACACAUACUUGUGAGGAAUGCGAUGGCGGAUAGGUUUCAGCGGCAGGUGCGAUUAGAUCUCAGCAUGAACGGUCAUUUGAGAUUGGGGGACAGGUAUUCCCAUUCCAUUUCCUGUCCGUCAGCCCUGGACCUACAGUACCUGUGUAUCAACACAGGCCAGCUGGGGCUGCUCCUGGGCUCCUGCGCCAGCACUGUCUAACCUCUGGGUCACGUCAAGGCAAGGUCAAGCACAGCCAGGCUCGUCACCUCCGAUCAGACGUCUCCUUUGUCGUGGAAUUAAUCAACACAACAUGCUGUCAGUCAUGCAGAGGGGAAAAUCAGGAAAUCUUUUCCUCCAAAAUCAUCUACCUGCAGCUUUUUUCCCCAUUAUAGGGGAACAGAAACUAGUGCUCGUAUUAAAUAAAGCCGAG
rnacentral:lncRNA from 1 species